UACGAAAGGUCCAAGCGUUACUCGGAAUUACUGGGCGUAAAGCGCGCGUAGGCGGCCUUGUAUGUCGAUUGUGAAAGCCCCGGGCUCAACCUGGGAACUGCAGUCGAAACUGCAAGGCUUGAAUGUUGGAGAGGUUGGGGGAAUACCUAGUGGAGAAGUGAAAUUCGUAGAGAUUAGGUGGAACAUCAGAGGCGAAGGCGCCUGACUGGCCAAACAUUGACGCUGAGGCGCGAAAGCGUGGGUAGCAAACAGG
rnacentral:rRNA from 1 species